CCUAGCAUGGGCAGGUGCCAGAGCAGCACUUCUCACAUUGCAGGCCAUGCCACAUCUGAUGGUCUGGGAAGGCUUCAUCAUUUGUUAUGAUGUGCGACUGGAAGAGCUGUUGAUGUCACCUGCCUUGCAGGUGAUCCCAGUCACCUCACAGAUGAAGGACAAAGCAUGGAAGUGAUGCUUCAGCAAGGGUUGCUCUCACAAAGUCCCUUUGGGACCCAUUGUGAGCUCUCCAGUGAUGCCUGGAUACAACAUUUCCCUGAGGCCCUCCCCUGGCCCAUCAGGGUAAGGGGAGUUGACUUGCACGAGGACAGCUAGUAAAGCUCUGUCUGGUAGAAAGAGUUAAAAGAAAAAAAUGAAAUAUUGCUGAUGCCUGGGGAACAAAGUGCCCCUUAAAAGUGAGCAGGUGAAACUGCUACCCGAGGCUUCCUGCCAAGAUGGCUUGCAGCACUAUUUAAUGGUUACAUUAAAGGAUAGCAUUGAGUUUAGAAACAUCUGUAGUCGUAUGGCUUUGCAAAGAGAGGGACAACAAUUUGAGAAAGACUUACAUGAAGCCCAGCAGUGUUUGAAGACCAUCAUUGAGAAACUCAUUUGUUCGCUGGCAGUUUUCCCCUCAGAUUCUUGUAUCUCAGUCCGGUUUGCCCUGAGACAAAUCCUGCAAAAUCUCCUGGCAAUGUGAAACAGCAGUCUGCUUGGCCAAGGAACAGCAAGGCCUAUGAGCUGUAGUUACCCUAUAAAGAUAAGAGAUAACUUGAAAGGUGAAUCCUGGAUAUUUUACUGUAGCAAGAGUUCCUGCUGACUUUACAUCAGUGAAGACUUCCCAACAGAGACGGUGUUCCUGCAAAGGACUGAAUAGCCUUCUUACAUCACUUAUACCAAAGUCAUGUUAAUAUGAGCUGGGAACAUCUUCAGAAGUCGAUCUGGAGGAACAGGAAUUCGUUCUUAAACAAUAAGGUCUCAAAAUGAAUACAGAAAGGUGGAGACUGAGAAGACAACCAUCAGGAAUCUCUCAGUUUUCAUCACAGCUCAGGAAAAUGUGUUUUCAGUUAAUUUUUUAUGGAGUGGAUACUUGAGAGAGACAGAGAAAAUAUAGUGCUUAAGUAUGGGCUCUUUCAUGAGAAGGUAUAUGGCCUGAUUAUGCUGCAAAUAAAGACAGCCUGCUAAAUCUUUACUGCAUUUUACCAUAAGAGUAAGAAGCCAACAAACCAAUGGAAAGGUGAAGGUGUGGUAUCUUCCAGUAAAAAAAAAAAAAAAGAGAGAAGAAAAAUAUGUGGGACCAGUGGGAUCAGUCACUUAAAAGCAAUAAAAGCUCUUGGUAGAUGAUCUAGUGGAGGUGAAUGGAAAGCAAAGCAAAAGAGGCAUUAACACUGUGAAGCAAGGUAUUUAUAAACUGAGGUGAAACAUUUGUGAAGAUUGCAGAGCUUUCUCAGCCCCUGUGACUGUGCAGCAGACAGCAUAAAACUCUGCUCUCCUGCUGCUAAAUCAGGAGGGUUUAUGAAGUCACUUAUUUCUGUCAAACAGCUGCAGCUGUAAUGCUGAGAAGAGGCAUUUUCCCCCCUCUUUUGCAGUAAGAUUUAACGUCUCUGUGAUUGCCGAACAGGAAUAACGGCUUGUAAAACUUUUUUUUUUUUUCAAAGGGAUAAAUUAAGCUCAUUUUAACUGUGAUUUGGGCAGCAGGUGAGGGAAUUAUGUAGACUAUGAGAUAGAAAAGUAUCUCUUUCCAUUGGCUGGAGGAGUGAAUUUCCACACGUAAUUUUUUUUGUCUUUUUUAAUUUUUUUCGACGUGUGAUCGUGAACAUCAUCAGCUGAAUACUUUCCGAGUGUGGUUCCAUACUCUGAUUGAUUUGCCAUAUUUUAUGUUCACACUUUAAAUGUUACACUGGUGUAAUUCUCACAGCUAUAAUUAAGGCUACCUCAAAACACUUUUUCACUGGUUCUUAGUGUGAAUGCAGACAACUGCCCUGGGUUGAAAUUUUGCCUGGGAUGUCUCAGCUUAGAAUUCAUUUAGAAAUGGGAAGAAAAAACAUGGAAGUUGGGCCAGAACCAGAUAUCUCCUUUUUUCACUUUUUUUCCCCUUUCUUUCUUUCUUUCAAGUGUGACUCCCUCAAGGGAAGAGGGGAAAAAGGGCUCUGCUGAGAGCAGAACAUGGUGUCUGCCAAAACAUUGUGCUCUCAAGGGUAACACUGAACAUAACAGCAGGCAGCAACAAACAGAGGGGAUGCACACAAAGGUGUUAUACCCAACCCUACAAAGGUAUUAGUGAGUGUGUAUCUACUAUAGUUUCUACAGUUGCUUCUACUAGUUUUGCUCACUCUGCUCUCACACAUGAGCACCCUAUUACAGGGUCUGUGUUUCAGUUCCUUCAGCAGGGAGUUAGCCCCACGCACAGUUUUAUCUCCGGUUUAAUUUAAAAGUCAUUUAAAAGAGAAACUUCCCCAAGGACUCUCUAUGUCCCUCACUUGUAUCUAGCUCAGUGCACUGAAAUCCUGAAGAUCCACUGCAAGAUCCCAUUGACUUCACCAGGGCCAGAAUCUGGGCUAUGCUCACCAGGUCAAAGCUCACAUCAUCAGUGUUUGCUGACAGGGUUGGCACUGGAAAGACUAUGAAAAAAAACCAAAACAGGCUGAUUUCAACUCUCUCUGCCCAGUCACAUGUGUGUGCACAGAGCUAAUAACCAAGUACAAAAGAACAAAAGCAUUUGGCAGGUAAUUUUCUCUUCAAGCUUCUAAGAAACCAGCAAGUGUUGUAGAUUAAAAGUACAUUACAUCUAAAAAAUACUCUGGCCACAGUUUCACCAAAUUGGACAGGUUCCCUUCCGGAUUGCUCUAGGCCUGCAGAGAUCCAUUGCAGGUAAGAAAUAGACCCAGAGACUUAGGGGAAGUUUAUACCUUCUGUAUAUGACUCUUCAUGUUUUUUUACAAGAAUUAGUGUUUAUGCUGAAAAUUUCCAGAACUUUUUCUUUCCCAAACAUUCUCACUUAAAAUGAAUAUUUUAAGUCAAGGUCAGUUAAAAAGAAAACAGUGUUAAAUUAUUUGAAAUUCUGGAUAGAAAUUUUAGAAUCUCUUGGGAAACUUCAUCUUGCAUCAGACUAUACAUCACAGGUGCUCAACUCCUCUCCUUGUCCUUGAGAUGAUGGUGCAACAGAAUGGCAGGGCAGUAGGUUCUCAGGUCCCGAGCCUGCAAACUCCAUGGGUAUGGUUUCAUGAUUCGAAGUGCUCACAUUACUGUGGUUUAAUAAGUUACCACCCAUCAGCUGAGCUGUGGCAACUGUCUGCGCACAUACAAUUAACUCACCCUAAUUGCAAAAUGUGCAACUCACCCAC